rnacentral:sRNA from 1 species
UGAUUGUUUGAAGAUCAGACAUCGAGUCAU